CAGAAAGUAGUUUAAUUAAAAUUUUAAUUUUGGGUAUUAAUGAUGGAGUAUUUUCCUUUUCUGA
rnacentral:tRNA from 1 species